GCCAGCAGCCGCGGUAAUUCCAGCUCCAAUAGCGUAUAUUAAAGUUGUUGCAGUUAAAAAGCUCGUAGUUGAAUUUCGGGAUCAAAUUGUCGGUCGUGCCUCGGUACGUACUGGCGUUAUUGGUUCCUCCCUUCUGAAGAACCGCGAUGUCAUUAAUUUGGUGUCGCGGGGAAUCAGGACUGUUACUUUGAAAAAAUUAGAGUGUUUAAAGCAGGCUCGCGCUUGAAUACAUUAGCAUGGAAUAAUGAAAUAGGACGUUUGAUUCUAUUUUGUUGGUUUCUAGGAUCGACGUAAUGAUUAAUAGGGAUAGUUGGGGGCAUUAGUAUUCAAUUGUCAGAGGUGAAAUUCUUGGAUUUAUUGAAGACUAACUACUGCGAAAGCAUUUGCCAAGGAUGUUUUCAUUAAUCAAGAACGAAAGUUAGGGGAUCGAAGACGAUCAGAUACCGUCGUAGUCUUAACCAUAAACUAUGCCGACUAGGGAUCGGAUG
rnacentral:rRNA from 1 species